AAUUUCUCAAGCUAGGAUGGCUUUUUGUCUGUCCUUAGCCUUGGUUGUUGGGCUUUGCCGUAUCCUUCAUUGGGACGGCUGGCCUUAAAAGCAUUAGCUGAUCCUCGUGUGGCACUGGUUCUACUCAGCGUGAUAACAGUCUGAUCGCUGAGGACAUCUUUUGGGAUGGCCAGUCCUCAUUUGGGUUGCUUCUAAACUUGGUUUCGCGGAUUGUUCAAUCUGCGUUCCACUUUCCAG
rnacentral:misc_RNA from 1 species